rnacentral:rRNA from 1 species
AUUGAACGCUGACGGCAUGCCUAACACAUGCAAGUCGAGCGAGCGGCGGACGGGUGAGUAAUGUAUGGGGAUCUGCCCGAUAGAGGGGGAUAACUACUGGAAACGGUGGCUAAUACCACAUACUAUCUGAUGAACCCAUAUGGGAUUAGCUAGUAGGUGGGGGAACGGCUCACCGAGGCGAAGAUCUCUAGCUGGUCUGAGAGGAUGAUCAGACACACUGGGACUGAGACAAGGACCAGACUCCUACGGGAGGCAGCAGUGGGGAAUAUUGCACAAUGGGCGCAAGCCGUAUGCAGCCAUGCCGCGUGUGUGAAGAAGGCCUUCGGGUUUUAAAGCACUGUCAGCGAGGAGGCGUUACUCGCAGAAGAAGCACCGACUAACUCCGUGCCAGCAGCCGCGGUAAUAC